rnacentral:rRNA from 1 species
AUUGAACGCUGGCGGCAUGCUUUACACAUGCAAGUCGAACGGUAACAGGUUAAGCUGACGAGUGGCGAACGGGUGAGUAAUGCAUCGGAACGUGCCCGGUCGUGGGGGAUAACACUUCGAAAGAAGUGCUAAUACCGCAUACGAUCUGAGGAUGAAAGCGGGGGACCGUAAGGCCUCGCGCGAUCGGAGCGGCCGAUGUCAGAUUAGGUAGUUGGUGGGGUAAAGGCUCACCAAGCCGACGAUCUGUAGCUGGUCUGAGAGGACGACCAGCCACACUAGGACAGAGACACGGCCCAGACUCCUACGGGAGGCAGCAGUGGGGAAUUUUUGACAAUGGGCGCAAGCCUGAUCCAGCAAUGCCGCGUGCAGGAAGAAGGCCUACGGGUUGUAAACUGCUUUUGUACGGAGCGAAAAGGCUCUCUCUAAUACAGGGGGCUCAUGACGGUACCGUAAGAAUAAGCACCGGCUAACUACGUGCCAGCAGCCGCAGUAA